rnacentral:rRNA from 1 species
UGGGGAAUAUUGGACAAUGGGGGCAACCCUGAUCCAGCAAUGCCGCGUGUGUGAAGAAGGUCUUCGGAUUGUAAAGCACUUUCGACGGGGACGAUGAUGACGGUACCCGUAGAAGAAGCCCCGGCUAACUUCGUGCCAGCAGCCGCGGUAAUACGAAGGGGGCUAGCGUUGCUCGGAAUGACUGGGCGUAAAGGGCGUGUAGGCGGUUUACACAGUCAGAUGUGAAAUCCCCGGGCUUAACCUGGGAGCUGCAUUUGAUACGUGUAGACUAGAGUGUGAGAGAGGGUUGUGGAAUUCCCAGUGUAGAGGUGAAAUUCGUAGAUAUUGGGAAGAACACCGGUGGCGAAGGCGGCAACCUGGCUCAUGACUGACGCUGAGGCGCGAAAGCGUGGGGAGCAAACAGGAUUAGAUACCCUGGUAGUCUACGCUGUAAACGAUGUGUGCUAGAUGUUGGGUAACUUUGUUAUUCAGUGUCGCAGUUAACGCGUUAAGCACACCGCCUGGGGAGUACGGCCGCAAGGUUGAAAC